rnacentral:rRNA from 1 species
AUUGAACGCUGGCGGCAUGCCUUACACAUGCAAGUCGAACGGCAGCACGGACUUCGGUCUGGUGGCGAGUGGCGAACGGGUGAGUAAUGCAUCGGAACGUACCCGGUAGUGGGGGAUAACUACCCGAAAGGGUGGCUAAUACCGCAUAUACUGUGCGCAGGAAAGCAGGGGACCUUCGGGCCUUGUGCUACCGGAGCGGCCGAUGUCAGAUUAGGUAGUUGGUGGGGUAACGGCCUACCAAGCCUGCGAUCUGUAGCGGGUCUGAGAGGAUGAUCCGCCACACUGGGACUGAGACACGGCCCAGACUCCUACGGGAGGCAGCAGCAGGGAAUCUUGGGCAAUGGGCGAAAGCCUGACCCAGCGACGCCGCGUGGAGGAAGAAGUCCUUCGGGGCGUAAACUCCUGGACGUGGGGACGAGGAAGGACGGUACCCAGUAGAAAGGGACGGCUAACUACGUG